UUUUGAGUUUUUAUUACAAAAAUAUAUUUGAAAACAUACAAAAUUUCCACUGAAAAUGUUCAUUUUAAAACAUUUAUGCAAUAACUUAAUAUUUGCCAACAUAAUAUGAUGGCACAAAUUACAUACCCAUAUACUGAACUGUUGAUGCAUUGUGAUGACAAUUUAAAAACUGCUUGAAAACCAGUAGGCACAAUUCAGUCUAUCCUAGGAGCAUCAACAGAUUAAAGAUUCCACAUGUAUUCCAACAAGCUGUCUCACCAAUAACUGUGCACAGAGUCAUAAACAAAUUAUAUUACAGUCAAGGAGAUUGGGAAGAGAAUACUAUAUACACAAGUAUUUCUUCCUUAAUGGCCUUUAGUGUUUUCUAUUAUGUCCACAGACCUAGGAAACUGAGGUCAUAUGUUUAUUGCAAUUCUUCAGUUAUAGGUGCUGCACCACUGGGAUAUUAUGCCCAAUAAUCUCCAAAAGUUAUUCAGAUAAUAAAGAUUGAAGCUACUCAAACUCACAAUAAGCAUGGAGUGCAAACUAAAGCAGUAAACCCACAUAUUGAAUAUAGUAUGGAUUUUAAACAAAGACAUACUAUUGGUACAAAACUACAGGGGGAAGAUUAUUGCAAUUUUUUCCCACUGAAGGUGAAGAUAUUGCAUCUUAACAUUUUAGCAAAUAUGUCAAAAACUGCGGUGAAAUAUAUAUGUAUAUAUAUUGCACACUUUCCUCUUUAAGAUAUGCUAAAACAGCAACUAAAUAGCCAAGAAGAAAUUGCUAGGUUUUUUUGUGGGUUUUUUUUUUUUUUUGGUUUCUUGUUAUUUGUGCCAAACACUUGACAUUAAAUACUUUUACUGAAAGUCUCCUAAUAAUUAUACCCUUGCUAACACAUAAUAUUAGAACAUUCUGGGAAUGCAAUAGACCCAAGAAAACAAACAUAGGAAAAAUUAAAAUUUAAUCAGUUUGAAAUAUAAGUUCCAUUUCAAGACUGAAAAUACAAAUUGCUUUUCUGUGUCACAUUGUGCCUUAGGCCUUUGCAAAAUAUUUAGAUGCUGUAAAGUGUGUCACAAAUGUAUAGUUAUUAGGCACAAUUCAAAGACAAUAUCUUUACCUACAAAACAACAAUCAGAUCUUCAAUAAGCUGCAUAUUUGAAAGCCACUUUAGACAAAUAUUAAACUUUUUUAGAAGUUGCAUAUAGGCAGUGUAAAAAUACAUGCUUAGAUAGUGUAUAUUCAUUUUAGAAUAUAGUCUAAAAUAUGAGCUACUUUCAAGAGAUAUUUUGCCAGGAGAAAAAUUAAAAUUAACAGUGUAAAUUGGUUAUUUAAGCAUUUGUUACCGAUGCAUGCAGAGAACAAUAAGAGAGAUUAUAAAGUGAAACUUUAUAAAGUGAAAUUUAGGCAAUCAGGCUAAAGCUGUCCAGUGAUUUCACAUUUUGUAAACAUCUGUGAUUUUACUCUGCAGUUUAGUUUGUCAAAGCAAUUCUUAAAAAAGCGUUUCAUCACAUCACCACAAGCAAUAAGAGCACUAGUGUGAUAACAGUGAAUGUUGCCCAACAGUGCUUUGUAUUACAUAAUACACCCGUUAUAGCUUAAACUUGCUAUGUAUAACAUAAACCUGCAUAGGACUCAGCAUCAAUGAAAAAUGUUAAAAAUAACUUAAGUUUUCAUACUACCUUCUAAUAAAAGACAUUCUCUGGAGAAUAGAGAAUUAUUUUGUGAUCCUUAUAUAUGUCCUAAAGCAGGGAUUGAGAAUUGCCAUAAACUAACUUUUGCACUGCUUUUCAAGACAAAAUAGCAAAUGAGAAUAAAAUUUUUUUUUAUUGCAGCAAAUACCUAGAUAUAUCUUUGCUGUUUAAUGCAAUAUUCCUUUUCUUAUUAAUUCUUGGAGACCAAGGAACUUAAAGUACAUUCAAUGUCAAGGAAACCUUUUCUAUAUAUCUUUAUAUUCAAGGUAAAAUAUCUUUAAUAUAAUACUUGCAUUCACUGUUAUCAUACUUCAUAUGCUUCAUCACUGCAAAUCUCACAUUUAUGGCUGAGGAUUUUUUUUUCUACAAUAAAUUCAUGACUGCGUAUUUCUUUCUUGUCAAUAAAAAAAACACGGUAACAAAAUUCAGUUUUAAUAGUCUGACAAUAGCCUGUAAUUAUAUAUGGAAGAAUGGUGUACUAAGCAAACUUGUUGGUAUACGUAUAUGGGUGUGCUACAACAGAUCCAGUGUACAAGCAGAGAGCGCUCUGGUUUUCUAUAAAAAGUCUACGAAGCCUGAAAAGAUACUUUUGAGUUUCACUAUUAAAGCCUGUCAAAUAUGUGUCACUAUACACAUAUUUCCCUGAAUUUUGUACAUAUAACCAAUAUAAAAUACUUUGUUAUUAGAAAGACUUUCAAAGGCUGAAGAGGUUCUUUCAGAAGGCAGAGUUUGCUAAACAUAAAAACUUCUACCUAAAAUCACUCAAAAUCUAAGUAUACAUAUUGAUUGGUUAAAAAAAAAUCAACACACUGUUUAUAUCAAAAACACUGAUUUGUGAUGAAGUCACAAUAAUCAAAACGUCAAUGAUGAAUUAGAAAUGUCAACUGGAUAAUGAUGCCAUCUUCAUUAUCACACACUUUGAGAGUAACCAGUAAAAUUUACUCCAGAACUUUGUUACAGAUUCUCUUGACACAAUGGGGCUUAUAUAGUAGGCUAUACUUUUUUCCCCCCAGCCCUACCUUUUUUAAUGGCUUCACAGAAAUAUACCAUAAUAUACAGAGCGAAGACUAUGCUCUUCCUCCAUUUCAACCAUGCUUUGAAAAAGCAGUGCAACUUGAAUGGCUAAACUGACUACAAAAUUACGUUUCACAAUAUAAAACAAAGACAUAAUUUUAAAAAUGCUAUCCUUUACAUUGCUAUUGCUUGAGUAAAUUGAGUAUAUGUUAUCACUUAAGUAUUGCUAGCUACUGUAACAUGCUAGAACGAAAUAAAUAGAAAUCACAAAAGACCAAUAGCAGCAUAUAAAACAGAUCAGAUUCUGACUUAUUUUGGGAAGAAGUUUGAUCUUUACAGCAGUAUAUAAUGCAAGUUCAGGGAGAGUUCUUAAUACUAUUCUGAACAACAGCUUAUCUAGAAACACUUCAACCUUUCUACAGGAAAAUCUAUACCAAAAUUGGCAUUUGACCUGGAUAGGAAAAAAAAAAUGAUAUUCCACUGAAAUAGUUUUCAAAAAUGUUGUUCAAAGGAAAUCAUAUUUCAUAUAUUCCUAGUAAAAGUAAUGCGUAUUCUGCAUACAAACCAAUUUAUGAUUGAUAGGACCCAGAGGUUAUCCUGUUACUAUGUUAAGGCUAAAAGCAGAAAUGUUAUACUGCAUGUCCAUUUCUUCAUAAAGCCUUAGAAAUAUCCUCUUAAAUUCUUCCAUGGCUCCUUAAAUUUGAAGCUGGUUUCAAAACUGUUGAUGUUCUUCGUCUAGUUAUCCUGAAUAUUCAGGGUGUAUAUGGUAAAGAAUUAUAUCAACUAUUUGACACUGCUCAAAAAAUAAGAAAAAUGUGCUGUUAAACAUAAGACCGUAUUUCCAUACAGAAAUAAAAUCCUGCUGGUAAAUGGUCACAGUGAAACCACACCAUUUCUUAGAACAUUAUUUAUACAAUAUUUCUAAGGAACAGUAUUCCUUGGAGGCUUAAAAAGACUUCACAAUCUCAAAAAAAAA